UUAGUAGUUUCAAAUACACAUAAACCUCAAUUAUCUUAUUACUUUCAUAUUCAAGAAAUUUAGAUUUUUUUUAUAAGCCCCAAUCCUAAUCAAUGAGCUUUAAUAAGCUAUAACUUCUGAUCCCACCGUCCACUUGAUGUAAAAUUUUGCAUGCAAUUGUCAAUAUAAGUCUUCUAUACACUUACAAAUUUUCAGUCGAAUCCAACUUAUAGAUUGUGAGAAAACCUC
rnacentral:lncRNA from 1 species